UACGUAGGGUGCGAGCGUUAAUCGGAAUUACUGGGCGUAAAGCGUGCGCAGGCGGUUCGCUAAGACAGGUGUGAAAUCCCCGGGCUCAACCUGGGAAUGGCGCUUGUGACUGGCGGGCUGGAGUACGGCAGAGGGGGGUGGAAUUCCACGUGUAGCAGUGAAAUGCGUAGAGAUGUGGAGGAACACCGAUGGCGAAGGCAGCCCCCUGGGCCGAUACUGACGCUCAUGCACGAAAGCGUGGGGAGCAAACAGG
rnacentral:rRNA from 1 species